GGGUUUUAUGUAAUGCAGUAUAUGAAAGACCUCAUUAGAGAUCAAAGCAUCCUAAGAAAACAAAAUUUCAAUGGAAAAAAGACUUACACGGAAACCGAACUUGAUGAAGUGCGAGUUGAAUGGAUUAAUUUCGUACUAAAGAAUAUGAGUUGAAAUCCAAUGAGAUGAAGAGUCAGUGUGAUGAGAAAAUGUUCGAUUUCGUCUUUUGUCAGAAAUUUCUUG